AAAAAAAAAAAGGACUUCCAUAAUAAAGGGCUUGCCUAUCUUGCCUGAGGCCCUGGAUUCAACCCAGCACCACCACAUAAACUGGAGUAAUCGAACUCCAGUGGGCAGUAGACAGGAGGUAGAGGUAGGAGGAUCAGAGUUUAAGGUCAUUCUUUGCUGGGAUACCGAAAUUCUGUCUCAAAAAACAGGAUGAAGAGAAAGCUGCUGGCUAGAAAUGGCACUCCGUGGCACGGGCAGAACGCUGUAUUCAACCUCCAACACCAAGAAGAUGGAAACCCCACAAAUCUCAAGGCUGGGCAUGGUGGCUCUUGCUUGUAAUUCCAGCUCUCCAAAAGGAAGCUGCAGCAGGAUUGCCUUGAACUUGAGGCUAGCCUGGGCUACAUACAGCGUGUGACUGUCUUAAAAACAAAAACAAAGCAAGCCAGUUGUAGUACCACAAAGCUAUGAUCCUGGCACUUGGAAGGAAGAUAUGAAGCUCAAGGUCAUCCCCAGCUACACAUGGAGUUAAAGGUGACUGGCGGGCACUACGUAUGGAGUUAUUAAAGGCCAGCCUGUGCUACAUGA